rnacentral:rRNA from 1 species
UCCUACGGGAGGCAGCAGUGGGGAAUCUUGCGCAAUGGUCGAAAGACUGACGCAGCGACGCCGCGUGGAGGAUGACGCCCUUCGGGGUGUAAACUCCUGUUGCCCGGGACGAACCUCCCCUUUCGAGGGGACUGACGGUACCGGGUGAGGAAGCACCGGCUAACUCUGUGCCAGCAGCCGCGGUAAUACAGAGGGUGCGAGCGUUGUCCGGAAUCACUGGGCGUAAAGGGCGCGUAGGCGGUUUCUCAAGCGUGCGGUGAAAGCUCAGGGCUCAACCCUGAGUCGGCCGUGCGAACUGGGAGACUGGAGCACGGUAGAGGCACAUGGAAUUCCGGGUGUAGCGGUGGAAUGCGUAGAGAUCCGGAAGAACACCGGUGGCGAAGGCGGUGUGCUGGGCCGUUGCUGACGCUGAGGCGCGACAGCGUGGGGAGCAAACAGGAUUAGAUACCCUGGUAGUCCACGCCGUAAACGAUGGGCACUAGGUCCUUGGGGGAGCGACCCCUUGAGGGCCGGCGCAAACGCAUUAAGUGCCCCGCCUGGGGAGUACGGCCGCAAGGCUGAAACUCAAAGGAAUUGACGGA